UUGUUGAAUUGAAAUGAGUCUCUGCUCGAAUGAUGAAUGUUCUUUAGAUAAACGACUCAUUGACAUGAAUACCAUUAAGAACGGCCAACUGAUGAGAUGCAAAACAUUUCAAAUGAAUUUCGUUUCCACCCUGGUUUUACGUUCCACAACUCAUCCGAUAAAUUUCACAUUUCAGAUUCGUGGACUCUCGCAACGGUUUACAUUUUGGAUGUGGAAGCAAUCAACAAAUAUCCGACCGGCGGAAAGCGACACUUUAUCGAAUGGAUCGAUGUGUUCGAUGCGCCGAUAGAAGUGUAAAUCGCUCACCGGUCAAUGGUCUAAGAAACGAUUCUGAGGGUGAUCAUGGUGAGGAAGCUUUUGAGGACGGUCAUGCUGUUGCAGUAGAAAUGACAAACGCAUCGUAUACUCUACCAAUCUGGGACAGCUUCCGAGUCGAACGAUCGGAUGCGACGAGAAGGAGUUGGAUGUGGUGUAUUGCUUUUAAUGCUAGCAAAACCAACAGAGUCAAUCAAUCGAAAACGAACUGAUGGCCGAUGGGAUGGGGUCAUAUAGAAUACAGCAACCGAUGAUCAACGGAACUGUUAUCCACUUGGUCCUUCAGUCCAGAUCAUCAUUCUAACAAAAGAGAUACUGUUGGACUGGACGAGAGGAGAGAGAUAGAGGGGAACUAGGCGACAUGGGAGAUAGAGAGAUGGAAAGAGCUGUUGGCUAAUGGGAUGCACAAAAUUUAAAUGGAUAUGUGGGGCUUGCCGAGUCGCAGUAGUGUGCAGAUCAGUGCAUUGGGAUUUAAAGGGUCACAGGAACUGUUAAACGGAGACUGCGAGCAUACCGACUUGACUUGACUUGACCAUAACAAAUUGGUGCCUGUGCACAUACCCGAGUAUGAAUAUGUGAUUACAAACCCCGACGCCGGUGUGAUCAAUUGACGAUGGUUGCAGAUUGGAGUUUAGAGUCUGAGAACCGGCAACGUGAAUCACCAACACGAAUUUGCAGUUGGAUGAGCUGGAUGAUCAACGCUAAUGAACGACCCGGUCUGUCAGCCAGUUAACACAAGAUCAAUGUCCAAUCGCUGGGUAAUCUAAUUCUCAGAGAACUCGACACGUUGAAAUUGGAGAGCCCGUAACGUCAAAAAGAUGAUCUCAUCGUUUGACUGAAACGAGAACGCACCGCAGCGACUGAAGAAAUACGAAGAGACUGAACUUAUUCCCCCAGCAGAUGCGCUGAAAUGGUGACUGGAUAAUUACCGGUUCAGGUUCGGUGAACACGUCCGAUUGAUGGCAAGCGGAAAAAGUGGCACAUGGCACAUUGACUGUUGAAGAAAGACUCCGAGUAUACAGAACAAUGCGACGAGAAUGGUAUCCGAAUUGAAUAAGUGAUUGUAGCGGUUGGAGAUACGGUCGCUUGGAUAAAAUCAACCCCUUGGACUACAUGGAAUCAGAGGAGGCCCAUGGAAUGUGGCCAGCUAAAAUUCAUGGAACGCCAAUCUUGGUUUACAUAAAACGCACAGCAACAAAUCGGAGCCAGUGGUGGUAUUGUGACAUUUCACGCAAUCUACUUACAGCCGGAACCACAUUUUUUGGAAAGUUUUAUGGAAAUACUCGAUUUUAGUCGCUAAUUCGAGCAUCAUAUCGAUGUAAACUGUGUUAACCCUCCAGUUUGUUUGCAAUAAAGAAAAUCGACCACAAAA